UACGUAGGGGGCAAGCGUUGUCCGGAUUUAUUGGGCGUAAAGAGCGUGUAGGCGGCCAUACAGGUCAGCUGUGAAAACUCGAGGCUCAACCUCGAGACGUCGGUUGAAACCGUAUGGCUAGAGUCCGGAGGAGGAGAGUGGAAUUCCCGGUGUAGCGGUGAAAUGCGCAGAUAUCGGGAAGAACACCUAUGGCGAAGGCAGCUCUCUGGGACGGUACUGACGCUGAGACGCGAAAGCGUGGGGAGCAAACAGG
rnacentral:rRNA from 1 species